rnacentral:tRNA from 1 species
GCCGAAGUGGCGAAAUGGUAGACGCGCUACGUUCAGGACGUAGUACCUUUAAUAGGUGUGUGGGUUCGACUCCCUCCUUCGGCACCA